CGCCCCCUCACCACGCGGCUCUGAGCGGGGAAGAGCUCAGCCCCCUCCGGAGCCACACGGCUGCCUCGCUGGGCAGGGCCGCUUCUCGAGGCGCGCAGUGAGCCGGGGGACACUUAUUACCAUCUUUAAGACCAUCUAAGAGACUGUCUGGCAAAUGAGGUUUCUUUCUAAAACCUCUCUCCAAUGAAAGGGAACAAGAGAUGUUAAAAUAAAAGUUUUACUGAAUACUUUAAA